rnacentral:rRNA from 1 species
UACGGGGGGGGCAAGCGUUGUUCGGAAUUACUGGGCGUAAAGGGCUCGUAGGUGGCCAACUAAGUCAGACGUGAAAUCCCUCGGCUUAACCGGGGAACUGCGUCUGAUACUGGAUGGCUUGAGUUCGGGAGAGGGAUGCGGAAUUCCAGGUGUAGCGGUGAAAUGCGUAGAUAUCGUAAGGAAGACCAGUGGCGAAGGCGGGUCUCUGGACAGUUCCUGACGCUGAGGCACGAAGGCCAGGGGAGCAAACGGG